rnacentral:lncRNA from 1 species
AGGCCUUUGAGAGUUCACUUGCCCAGAUCAGAAGCUUAACUGUGACCCUGGAUUCUCCUUUCUCUCUUACCAUCCAGUCGUCACCAGUCCACUUCCUGAGGAACCAAACCUGGGACAAUCCUCUCAACAGCCUUAUGGAUCAACCCUGAGCUAACAUCUGCUGCUAAUCCUCCUCUUUUUGCUGAGGAAGACUGGCCCUGAGCUAACAUCCGUGCCCAUCUUCCUCUACUUUAUACGUGGGACGCCUACCACAGCAUGGCUUGCCAAGCAGUACCAUGUCCACACCCAGGAUCUGAACCGGCAAACCGUGGGCUGCUGAAGUGGAACAUGCACACCUAACUGCUGCGCCACCGGGCCGGCCCCUAAAAUAUGUGGCCUCCUUGGUGCUGAAUGAAGCUUUGCUUAAUGUGGCUGCCUGUGGAAUUAUAUUUGGAGGGAUUGCUAUUAAUGGAAACCAGUGAAGGAGCAGUCACUCGUUCCUCACAAGCACAGAGGUCUUUUGUGAUGGAGAUGACAGCUUUCCUCAUUUCAUACACGGUCCCUCGUGAACCUGAAGAGGGAAGGAUGCAUGCGUGUUUGAACAAGACUUCAAAGGAAGCCUGGGACCCGGCCUCCAUUCCAGAGUUGCUGUCAGGUCAGCCCCUGGAGCCACCCACAGUUCUCAUUCCUGUCUCACGUCCUUCAAGGACUUCCUGCUACUCUUGGGAAGAGCCAAAUUUCUUCACCGAGCCCACCAAGCCCAUGGCAGUGUCACCCCAGCUAACCUUGCCUGCUUAUCUCCCAUCCACCCUGCCCUGCAGUCCCACUGCAGAGUCUCACCUUCCCCAAAAUAUCCUACGCGGGUGCCUCCCUGUCAGAAAUGCCAUUCUCCCUUUUGUUGUCUGGAUCCUCUCCAUCUCAUCCUUCAAGACCCUGGCAGAAGUCUUCUUAGGGAGUCCUCCCCAUCUGUCCCAGGUAGAGGGAAUCAUCCCCACCUCUUUGCUCC